rnacentral:rRNA from 1 species
UACGUAGGGUGCAAGCGUUAAUCGGAAUUACUGGGCGUAAAGCGUGCGCAGGCGGUGAUGUAAGACAGGUGUGAAAUCCCCGGGCUUAACCUGGGAACUGCAUUUGUGACUGCAUCGCUGGAGUGCGGCAGAGGGGGAUGGAAUUCCGCGUGUAGCAGUGAAAUGCGUAGAUAUGCGGAGGAACACCGAUGGCGAAGGCAAUCCCCUGGGCCUGCGCUGACGCUCAUGCACGAAAGCGUGGGGAGCAAACAGG